UGAGAGAGGCAGGGAAGAAGCUGGA
rnacentral:piRNA from 1 species